rnacentral:tRNA from 1 species
GGAGAGGUAUUCUAAUUGGUAAGGAGCCACAUUGGAAAUGUGGUGUGCCUGCAAAGGCAUUGUGCGUUCGAGUCGCAUCCUCUCCGCCA